GGAGAGGUCCCCCUCGUACACGCCU
rnacentral:tRNA from 1 species